GGGCGCAUAGCUCAGUUGGUUAGAGCGCAUGCAUGACACGCAUGAGGUCCGAGGUUCGAGUCCUCGUGCGCCCACCA
rnacentral:tRNA from 3 species